rnacentral:lncRNA from 1 species
UUUGAUGUUCUUGCUUCCACUAGCAUCAGUCUACGAGAGCUGAUUACUUCAAGCUUAAUGGAAGUGCUGGUUUUUGGCAAAGACACCAGUGACAGCGCACUCUUCAUUGUUAGACUCGUGACGAUUCUUAUAUUCAGCGCCCAUAACCUUAAGAAAGGGACAGACCCUAAGAAAGAGACAGAGGGUCAGUCAUAUGCGCAAAUUGUACAGCGUGUGGAGCCUGCUAGAAACUCCUUAACAGCAAGUUUCGAGUUACUUGGACACGUAAUAGAGCAGUGUGCGCAACUGCGUGAUCCUUCGUCAAGCUAUUUCUUGCCUGGUGUCUUAGUUUUUGUUGAAUGGUUGGCCUGUUGUCCUGAUAUUGCAUCGGGAAGUGAUCCGGAUGAAAGACUGGCUGCUGCGAGAAACAGCUUUUGGAACCAGUGUGUUGCCUUCUUCAAUCGACUCUUGUCGCUUGGGCCUAUGUAUAUUGAUGAUGUCGAAGAUGAGACUUGCUUCUCAAACAUGAGCAUGUAUGAUGAAAGAGAAACUGAAAACCGACUUGCUCUGUGGGAGGACUAUGAAUUAAGAGGAUUCUUGCCAUUGCUUCCAGCUCAGACUAUUCUCGAUUUCUCAAGAAAACAUUCCUUUGGAACUGAAGGGCCCAAGGAAAAGAAAGCUCGUAUUAAGAGGAUCCUAGCAGCAGGGAAAGCAUUGACCAGUGUGAUCAAGGUUGAUCAGAAUUGUGUUUAUUUUGACUCAAAGAAGAAGAAGUUUCUCGUUGGUGUUAAACCGUCCGGUGACUUACUGGAUUCUCAUUCAAACCCACCUGAAGCUGAUAAUGCUUUACAAGAAAACCAAGCAAUGAUGAACCAUAAUACGCCAGUGACGCAACGAGAUCAGCAGAUUUACUUGGAUGAGGAAGAUGAUGAAGAAGAAGAAAUUGUUUUCAAACCUCUAGUUACUGAGAAGAGGAAUGGGGCUUCUGACCAAACCUAUGUUCCUAAUGGAGGCUUGAGGAAUCCUGAUCAAGUUCCUAACGGAGGCUUCAGGAAACCUGAUCAAGUUGCUACGAUGAGAGAAGACUUAAAAUCUCUGAGUGUUUCAGAUGCAGCUUUUCAAGGAAACAUGCUUCAGCACUCAAGAGGCAAUGCAGCUGUUCAAGUGCCUGCGUCUGUUGGUUCUAACCUUCUGGGACAUCUUCUGCCGUCAACCCAGUCUCAGGGUAUGCAGUUGCAACAACCUCAGACACAAGCAGUGCAUCCUCAGCAAGCUCAAUCGCUGGCUUCUUCACGACUUCAACCACAUCAAUCACAGGUCUCACAACUUCAACCACUGCAAUCACGGACUGUGCACUUUCAACAAACUCAGGGACAGGUUUCACAUGCUGCACCGGCCCAGCCACAAUCAACUUCCCUUAGUGGUAGCAACUGGUUCCCAAAUGAAGCUGCUAGGAGCCUAUCUGGUUUCGCUCAGAUGGGUAAUGGUCUUGUGAUGAGGAACGAGAUGCAAGGAAACCAGGGAUUUUCCUAUUACCCUGCACACUCAUUGCCGAUCCACCAGUCUUUCAAUGUCAACGGUAUGGGUGGUAUGCCAUAUUCUCAGUCACGAACACCCGAAGCUGUGUUGCCACCCAAUAUCAAUGCUGUUUCAUCUGCUGGAGUUAUUGCUGAUGGCAUGGGUAUGCAGUCUUCAUUAGCGAGAAAAAAUCCAAUCGGUAGAGCCUCCAGGCAUCUCGGCCCUCCACCUGGGUUUAACCCUGUCCCCUCUAAGGUGGUAAAGGAGCCUGCACCUGGUCCGGAUAUGUCUGGCAACAAUCCACAGGUUGAUGAUUACAGCUGGUUGGAUGGAUACCAAGGCCAGCCGGUUCGGGUCUUCAGCGUCCAUCCACGAAACUCAAAUUCGAGAACCGGAAUGCAUUCAGCGAGUAACCCAGCACGUCCAUCCAAUGCGCCCAAAACAGUUUAUCCCCUUCCCCACUCGGAAUCAUCUCCUCUAUCGCCUUACCUAACCCCACAUCCUUCGCCACGUGUUCGUCGCAACAUCCAUCCGCAACCGUCGUCUCUCUCAUAAACUCUCUCUGAAGCGUAACCGCCGAAAUCCGAUCGCACGCCCCGGUGUUCAGCCGAAACGUCAGCAAUCUCUUCUCGCCGUCGCGCAGAUCGUAGAGACUAACGAAGAAGACGCCGCACUCGCCGUUACUCCAAAUGCAUUUCUGAAACACCCAUUUCGAUUCCGAUUGACUGGUUCAAAAGCAAUGUGUGGAUUCCCUAAAGAACUGUAGGAGGAGACACGCUUCAGAAAAUCUUCAUAGCGGCUUCAGAACAAUGGAGCCAUGUGGAUGUGUGAUAUAUGUUAGGUUACAUAAACUGGCACUAUCAAAUUGAGGGGUUUGAGAAGAUUAGGUCAUACCUAUUCUUCGAUCAGAAGCAGGUGAAGGCCGAUUAGCAUCCCGACUUUAGCGGGAUAUGGGCUUCUCAAAAGUGAAUCAACUUGACAGGCGGCGACUUUGUCGAAGUAAACAGUCAGAGAUCGACGAUUUGGAGCGUUUUAGGGCCACCAUAGCGAUGGUUCAAGGAUUUGGAGUCUAUAUAUAUAUAUGUAUCAAAGAGAAGUUGGAAAAUGGAUUGACAUGUAGAAGUUUGAGCAUACUCUAAACGGCAGAAGAUGAAGAAGAGGUAACAGAUGGCUAGGUAAACUUUAUGUCAAUUAAAUCAGAAUCUUUACAGUAGAGAAAUCUGAAAAGGUUGUAAACGGUGGCUGUGAUUAAUUAAUUUUGCCCGUAUUUUGAAUAAUAAUGAUAUGUAUUUUGGGCUAUAAUGAUGAGCCACGACAACACAGAAAAUCAGAAGCCCAUAACUAAGUUGGCCUGCGAAAAUUUUGUGUUGACUAACAGCAGACUGACGUGGCAAAAUGAAACUUCAUUAUUGGUUGAUUUUUAAAGUGACGUGGACACCUUUCCUGUGGAUUAUAUAUCCCUUUUAUUAUAGGAUAGAUUUUUUGUUUAGGCAAUUUUUUUCAAGAAAUUCAUAACUGAAGAAAGUAAAAAGGAAAAAUAGACGGUGAAAAAAAAAAGAAGAGGAAGUGAAAACUAUGGGAGAAAAAGAAAAGACAAAGAAACGACGUCGUCAAAGCUUAUUUUCCCUCGUUCACUAUUUUUUUUCUGUCUCGUAUAUAUACACUAAGGAAAAGUCUGACCUUGACAAAUAUACAACAUCACCGCGUCUCCUUCUCUCUCUUUUUUUUUCCUCGUUGGAAAAAAAAACCCCUAGCUUCUCCAUCUCUCACCGAUGGUCAUGGUCGCAUAGCCAUUCGCAGAUCUGGUAAAAUUGAGUUUAUAACCCUCUCUUUUCUCUUAUCCUAUUUCACAAUUUCGCUCUUGGUUGCUUUGUUUUGUGUUUUCCCCUUUUUACAAAAUUGAUGCUGAUUCUGCUUUGAUUACCCUCCUCGUUCGCAGAAUUUUUAGUCAUGAUUAUGGGUAACAUAGGGUUGGUCCUGAUUUUGGUUUUUCCUGAUUAUUUUUUUGGUAGAUUUCAACUCUAUUAAAUCGAAUUUUUUUUUGUUAUUCGUCAUUAUCUCUGGUUGAUCACUUGUACAAUCGAAUGUUCUCUGUAAAGGGUCUUGUUUUCUCUGUUCAAGGUUUUGACUUGAACUUGUUUUCUUCUUGUGUUAACACUGAUCGAAACUGCUUACGGAACUCUGAUUAAUAUCAUCUAUUGGCUCUUUAGAUGAUUGCUUUUGUUUAAGCUUCUUAUAUAUGUUUUUUUUUGUUAUAGAUAAUGACACCAGCAUAGCUUUAGCCUGAGAUUUUUAUUUAUUUAUUUCAGGUCGUUGACAAUUUUGAGACUUUGCAGAUGGAUAAAAAGACUGCUUCCUCGCCAUGGGAGCGAGCCCAAUCCAUAUUCGAUAAGGUUUCCUUCUCUUUCUUACUUUGACAACUCUGUGAAUUUACCUUUAUUAUUGUUUUUGGAGUAGUUUUUUUUACAAUGGAAGCUGUAUCAGUUCGUCUUUAGCUCAUCGUAGGGUUAUAAAGGCCGUUUUGUCUCUGUACUUGAGGCUAUGGUUUUGUAGACCUCUUUAUAGUGACAAUAUAUGCAUUCUUUGCAGACUAUUGAGUUGGAAGCCAAGCGUAGGAAGGCUGCACAGUCUCGGACCCCGACGUCUGACCCCAAUUUGUGGCAGCAAAUUCGCGAGAAUUACGAAGCUAUCGUUCUCGAAGAUCAUGCUUUCUCUGAGCAGCACACCAUUGAGUUUACACUGUGGCAGUUGCAUUACAAACGGAUUGAAGAGUACAGAUCAAACAUCAAUGCUGUCUUGGCUUCUGGUAGCUCCGGUGCGGCUCAGAAUGCAAAGGGUCCUUCUAUAUCCGAACGAGUCGCGAGGGUCAAGCUGAGGUUCAGAACUUUUCUUUCGGAAGCAACUGGGUUUUACCAUGAGAUGAUAUUGAAAAUUAGAUCGAACUAUGGUCUUCCCCUGGGUUACUUUUCCGAUGAUCAAGAGAGUCAAAAUUUGGCUGAUAAGGAUGGGAAGAAGCUGGCUCAAGUUAAGAAAGGCUUGGUGUCUUGUCACCGUUGCUUAAUAUACCUUGGUGAUCUUGCUCGGUACAAAGGAUUGUAUGGAGAGGGAGGAGAUUCCAAGAACCGAGAGUAUGCUGCUGCUUCGGGUUACUAUUUGCAAGCAGCUUCUCUGUUGCCAGCCAGUGGAAACCCACAUCAUCAGGUUCUCUCUCUUUCUGAUGAGAUCUUUUUAUUAGCUAUGUACAGUGUUUCUGAUUAGAUUAACUCUAUGUCUCAGCUUGCUAUAAUUGCUUCUUAUUCGGCGGAUGAGUUUGCAGCAACUUAUCGUUACUUCCGGAGCUUGGCUGUGGAGAGUCCUUUUCCCACUGCCCGUGACAACUUGAUUGUUGCUUUUGAAAAGGUUAACUAACGAAUUUAUGUUUUAAAUAUCUCAGUCGCUUAGGAUAAUAGCCAUGGUCCUCUCACUUUCUUAGUACUCAAAUAUAAUGUAACUUUACCUCUUUGUACGGUUAAGCAGAAUCGUCAGAGUUAUGCCCAGUUGCUUGCGGCUUCCAAAGACUCAUCUACAAAGCCGAAUGGUAAAGGAAGAGGUAAAGGCGAAGACAAAUCAUCGGAAGAUGCGAACGUGGCUUCUGUUCCUGAGAAGGAUAAAGUAACUAGUGCAAAUGAGAUGCUUAAAGCAUUCUGCAUUAGAUUUGUACGUCUCAACGGGAUUCUUUUCACCCGAACAAGGUAUUCUCUUUAUUUCUGAUUUUAGUUUGUUCUAGAUUCUGUUACUGGCUCUCUUAUAUAAAAUAUUUACCACUUGUCUUUGUCAGCCUGGAGACAUUCUUUGAUGUUCUUGCUUCCACUAGCAUCAGUCUACGAGAGCUGAUUACUUCAAGCUUAAUGGAAGUGCUGGUUUUUGGCAAAGACACCAGUGACAGCGCACUCUUCAUUGUUAGACUCGUGACGAUUCUUAUAUUCAGCGCCCAUAACCUUAAGAAAGGGACAGACCCUAAGAAAGAGACAGAGGGUCAGUCAUAUGCGCAAAUUGUACAGCGUGUGGAGCCUGCUAGAAACUCCUUAACAGCAAGUUUCGAGUUACUUGGACACGUAAUAGAGCAGUGUGCGCAACUGCGUGAUCC